AUAUCAGUAAGCGGAGGAGGAGAAACUAACAAGGAUUCCCGUAGUAACGGCGAGUGAACUGGGAUCAGCUCAAAUUUAAAAUCUGGCCUUCGGGUCCGAAUUGUAGUCUAAAGAGGUGCUAUCAUGCAGACGACGUGCGUACAAGUGUCCUGGAAUGGACCAUCACAGAGGGUGAGAAUCCCGUUUGGGUACACACAUUAAUCAUCUACGAGGUACUCUCUAAGAGUCGAGUUGUUUGGGAAUGCAGCUCAAAAUGGGUGGUAAACUCCAUCCAAGGCUAAAUACAACACGAGACCGAUAGCGCACAAGUA
rnacentral:rRNA from 1 species